UCUCUCAAAAGGAGUGUACAGCAAAGAUGAUUGUGGUAAACUAAAAAGCAAAGACUCAAAUCAUACAAGACGCUCCAAGCAAAACACAUAUCAUGUGGUGUUUAAAAAUAUAGCUCCAAGUAAAGUUACCGAUGGAAGUAGACGAAAGAGGGGAUGCCUUCCGGGGCAUCCCUAAGCUUUGACUUUUUGGUGUCCUUAGAUUAUCUUGGGGUGCCAUGGGCAUCCCCAAGCUUAGGCUCUUCCCACUCCUUGUUACAUAAUCCAUCAAAUCUUUUACCCAAAACUUGAAAACUUCACAACACAAAACUUAACAAAAAAUCUCGUGAGCUCCGUUAGCGAAAGAAAACAAAACACCACUUCAAGGUACUGUAAUGAACUCACUCUUUAUUUAUAUUGGUGUUAAACCUACUGUAUUCCAACUUAUCUAUGGUUUAUAAACUAUUUUACUAGCCAUAGAUUCAUCAAAAUAAGCAAACAACACACGAAAAACAGAAUCUGUCGAAAACAGAACAGUCUGUAGUAAUCUGUAACUAAAGCAAACUUCUGGAACUCCAAAAAUUCAGCCAAAAUAGGAAGACCUAGACAAUUUGUUUAUUGAUCAGCAGCAAUUGUAAUCAAUAUUUUAUCACGUUCUGGUUAUUUUUAACAAUUAUUUUCGUGAACAGGAAGUUUCUGGAAUUUUCAGCAAGAUCAAAUAACUAUCAUCCAAGAAGAUCCUAUAGGUUUAACUUGGCACAAACACUAAUUAAAACAUAAAAACACAUCUAACCAGAGGCUAGAUCAAAUAAUUAUUCCUAAACAGAAGCAAAAAGCAAAAAAAACUAAAAAUAAAAUUGGGUUGCCUCGCAACAAGCGCUAUCGUUUAACGCCCCUAGCUAGGCAUAAUAGCAAGGAUAGGUCUAGGUAUUGCCAUCUUUGGUAGGCAAUCCAUAAGUGGAUCUUAUAAUAGAUUCAUAAGGUAAUUUUAUUUUCUUUCUAGGGAAGUGUUCCAUGACUUUCCUUAACGGAAAUUGGAAUCUAAUAUUCCCUUCCUUAAUAUCAAUAAUUGCACCAAUCGUUCUAAGGAAAGGUCUACCAAGAAUAAUAGGACAUAAAGGAUUGCAAUCUAUAUCAAGAACAAUAAAAUCUACGGGCACAUAAUUCCUAUUUGCAAUAAUAAGAACAUCAUUAAUUCUUCCCAUAGGUUUCUUAAUGGUGGAAUCCGCAAGGUGCAAGUUUAAAGAGCAAUCAUCAAAAUCACGGAAACCUAGCAAAUCACACAAAGUUUUUGGAAUCGUGGAAACACUAGCACCCAAGUCACACAAAGCAUAGCACACAUGAUCUUUAAUUUUAAUUUUAAUAGUAGGUUCCCACUCAUCAUAAAGUUUUCUAGGGAUAGAAACUUCCAACUCAAGUUUUUCUUCAUAAGAUUGCAUCAAAGUAUCAACGAUAUGUUUAGUAAAAGCUUUAUGUUGACUAUAAGCAUGUGGAGAAUUUAACACGGAUUGCAACAAGGAAAUACAAUCUAUCAAAGAGCAAUUAUCAUAAUUAAAUUCCUUGAAAUCCAAAAUAGUGGGUUCAUUAAUAUCUAGAGUUUUGAUCUCUUCAAUCCCACUUUUACCAAUUUUUGCAUCAAGAUCUAAAAACUCCGAAUUUUUGGAACGCCUUCUAGGUAAAGGUGGAUCAUAUUCAGUCCCAUCAUUAUCAAGAUUCAUAUUGCAAAACAAAGAUUUAAUAGGGGACACAUCAAUAACUUUUAGAUCUCCAUCUUUAUUUUCAUAGAAAUUAGAAGAACGUGCUUUCACAAAGCAAUCUUUCUUAGCACGCAUCCUAGCGGUUCUUUCUUUGCACUCAUCAAUGGAAAUUCUCAUGGCUUUGAGAGACUCAUUGAUAUCAUGCUUAGGUGGAAUAGAUCUAAGUUUCAAGGAAUCAACAUCAAGAGAAAUUCUAUCAACGUCCUAGCCAAUUCAUCAACUUUAAGCAAUUUUUCUUCAAGCAAAGCAUUGAAAUUCUUUUGCGAAUUCAUAAACUCCUUAACACUAGUAUCAAAUUCAGAAGGCGUCUUAUUAAAAUUUCCAUAAGAAUUGUUGUAGGAAUUACCAUAAUUAUUAGAAGAAUUACUAGGAUAAUGCCUAGGAUUAAAGUUUUCUCUAUACGCGUUGUUACCAAAAUUAUUCCUACCAACAAAAUUCACAUCCAUAGAUUCAUUAUUAUUCUCAAUCAAAGUAGACAAAGGCAUAUCAUUAGGAUGAGAAGAAACAUUUUUAUUAGCAAAUAAUUUCAUAAGUUCAUCCAUCUUUCCACUCAAAACAUUAAUUUCUUCUAUUGCAUGGACCUUUUUAUUAGUAGAUCUUUCAGUGUGCCAUUGAGAAUAAUUAACCAUAAUAUUAUCUAGGAGUUUAGUAGCUUCUCCUAAAGUGAUUUCCAUAAAAGUGCCUCCCAGGGCCGAAUCUAAAAGAUUUCUAGAAGCAAAAUUCAAUCCGGCAUAAAAUUUUUGUAUGAUCAUCCACAAAUUCAAACCAUGUGUAGGGCAAUUACGUAUCAUUAAUUUCAUCCUCUCCCAAGCUUGUGCAACAUGUUCAUGAUCAAGUUGCUUAAAAUUCAUAAUAUCGUUUCUAAGAGAGAUGAUCUUAGCGGGAGGAAAAUACUUAGAGAUUUAUCGGUAAGAGGAGCAAUCGGAGUGCUAAGAAAAUCAUUAUUGUUGGUAUUGGUAAAGUCACACAAUUUAGUAUUAUCUUGAGCCAUCGUGACAAGCAAGCAAUCCAACACACGAGCAAACAAGAAGCAAGCGAAAAAGAGGCGGACAGAAAAGAGAGGGCAAAUAAAACGGCAAGAGUGAAGUGGGGGAGAGGAAAACGAGAGGCAAAUGGCAAAUAAUGUAAUGCGGCAGAUAAGGGUUUGUGAUGGGUACUUGGUAUGCUGACUUUUGCGUAGACUCCCCGGCAACGGCGCCAGAAAUCCUUCUUGCUACUUCUUGAGCACCGCGUUGGUUUUCCCUUGAAGAGGAAAGGGUGAUGCACCAAAGUACCGUAAGUAUUUCCCUCAGUUUUUGAGAACCCAGGUAUCAAUCCAGUAGGAGGCCACGCACGAAUCCCUCGCACCUACACAAACAAAUAAAUCCUCGCAACCAACGCAAUAAAGGGGUUGUCAAUCCCUUCACGGUCACUUACGAGAGUGAGAUCUGAUAGAUAUGAUAAGAUAAUAUUUUUGGUAUUUUAAUGAUAAAGAUGUAAAAUAAAGAAAGAAAAAUAAAGACGGCACCAGAAAUAGCUUGUUGACGGGAGAUUAAUAUGAUGGAAAAUAGACCCGGGGGCCAUAGGUUUCACUAGUGGCUUCUCUCAUGAGCAUAAGUAUUACGGUGGGUAAACAAAUUACUGUUGAGCAAUUGAUAGAAUUGAGCAUAGUUAUGAGAAUAUCUAGGUAUGAUCAUGUAUAUAGGCAUCACGUCCGAGACAAGUAGACCGACUCCUGCCUGCAUCUACUACUAUUACUCCACACAUCGACAGCUAUCUGCUACCUCUUGAUUACUGUGUUGGUUUUCCCUUGAAGAGGAAAGGGUGAUGCAGCAAAGUAGCGUAAGUAUUUCCCCCAGUUUUUGAGAACCAAGGUAUCAAUCCAGUAGGAGGCUACGCGCGAGUCCCUCGCACCUACACAAACAAAUAAAUCCUCGCAACCAACGCGAUAAGGGGUUGUCAAUCCCUACACGGUCACUUACGAGAGUUAGAUCUGAUAGAUAUGAUUGGAUAAUAUUUUUGGUAUUUUUGUGAUAAAGAUGCAAAGUAAAGAAAGUAAAAUAAAAACGGCAAAAGAAAUAGCUAACUGUUGGAAAAUUAAUAUGAUGGAAAAUAGACCCGGGGCCAUAGGUUUCACUAGUGGCUUCUCUCAAGAGCAUAAGUAUUUUACGGUGGGUGAACAAAUUAUUGUUGAGCAAUUGACAGAAUUGAGCAUAGUUAUGAGAAUAUCUAGGUAUGAUCAUGUAUAUAGGCAUCACGUCCGACACAAGUAGACCGACUCCUGCCUGCAUCUACUACUAUUACUCCACACAUCGACCGCUAUCCAGCAUGCAUCUAGAGUAUUAAGUUCAUAAGAACAGAGUAACGCUUUAAGCAAGAUGACAUGAUGUAGAGGGAUAAAUUCAUGCAAUAUGAUAAAAAAACCAUCUUGUUAUCCUCAAUGGCAACAAUACAAUAUGUGCCUUGCUGCCCCUACUGUCACUGGGAAAGGACACCGCAAGAUUGAACCCAAAGCUAAGCACUUCUCCUGUUGCAAGAAAGAUCAAUCUAGUAGGCCAAACCAAACUGAUAAUUCAAAGAGACUUGCAAAGAUAACCAAUCAUACAUAAAAGAAUUCAGAAGAUUCAAAUAUUGUUCAUAGAUAAACUUGAUCAUAAACCCACAAUUCAUCGGUCUCAACAAACACACUGCAAAAGAAGAUUACGUCGAAUAGGUCUCCACGAGAGAGGGGGAGAACAUUGUAUUGAGAUCCAAAAAUAGAGAGGAAACCAUCUAGCUAAUAACUAUGGACCUGAAGGUGUGAGGUAAACUACCCACACUUCAUCGGAGAGGCUAUGGCGUUGAUGUAGAAGCCCUCCGUGAUGGAUGCCCCCUCCGGCGGAGCUCCCGAACAGGCCCCAAGAUGGGUCUCGUGGGUACAGAAGGUUGCGGCGGUGGAAUUAGGUUUUUGGCUCCGUAUUUGAUCGUUUGGGGGUACGUAGGUAUAUAUAGGAGGAAGGAGUACGUCGGUGGAGCAACGUGGGGCCCACGAGGGUGGAGGGCGCGCCAAGGGGGGUAGGCGCGCCCCUACCUCAUGGCUUCCUGCUUGAUUUCUUGACGUAGGGUCCAAGUCCUCUGGAUCAUGUUCGUUCCGAAAAUCAUCUUCCCGAAGGUUUCAUUCCGUUUGGACUCCGUUUGAUAUUCUUUUUCUGCGAAACUCUGAAAUAGGCAAAAAAACAGCAAUUCUGGGCUAGGCCUCCGGUUAGUAGGUUAGUCCCAAAAAUAAUAUAAAAGUGGAUAAUAAAGCCCAAUAAUGUCCAAAACUGAAGAUAAUAUAGCAUGGAGCAAUCAAAAAUUAUAGAUACGUUGAAGACGUAUCAAGCAUCCCCAAGCUUAAUUCCUGCUCGUCCUCGAGUAGGUAAAUGAUAAAAACAGAAUUUUUGAUGCGGAAUGCUACUUGGCAUAAUUUCAAUGUAAUUCUUCUUAAUUGCGGUAUGAAUAUUCAGAUCCGAAAGAUUCAAGAUAAAAGUUCAUAUUGACAUAAAAAUAAUAAUAAUUCAAGCAUACUAACUAAGCAAUUAUGUCCUCUCAAAAUAACAUGGCCAAAGAAAGUUCAUCCCUACAAAAUCAUAUAGUUUAGUCAUGCUCCAUUUUCGUCACACAAGAAUGCUCUCAUCAUGCACAAUCCCGAUGACAAGCCAAGCAAUUGUUUCAUACUUUAGUAAUCUCAAACUUUUUCAACCUUCACGCAAUACAUGAGCGUGAGCCAUGGAUAUAGCACUAUGGGUGGAAUAGAAUAUGAUGAUGGGGGUUAUGUGGAGAAAACAAAAAAGAAGAAAGUCUCACAUCAACGAGGCUAAUCAAUGAGCUAUGGAGAUGCCCAUCGAUUGAUGUUAAUGCAAGGAGUAGGGAUUGCCAUGCUACGGAUGCACUAGAGCUAUAAAUAUAUGAAAGCUCAACAAAAUAAACUAAGUGGGUGUGCAUCCAACUUGCUUGCUCACGAAGACCUAGGGCACUUGAGGAGGCCCAUUGUUGGAAUAUAGAAGCCAAGUUCUAUAACGAAAAAUUCCCACUAGUAUAUGAAAGUGACAAAACAAGAGACUCUCUAUCAUGAAGAUCAUGGUGCUACUUUGAAGCACAAGUGUGGUAAAAGGAUAGUAACAUUGUCCCUUCUCUCUUUUUCUCUCAUUUUUUGGGCCUUCUCUUUUUUUUAUUCCUCACUUGGGACAAUGCUCUAGAAAAUGAUGAUCAUCACACUUCUAUUUAUUUACAACUCAAUACUAGAACAAAGUAUGACUCUAUAUGAAUGCCUCCGGUGGUGUACCGGGAUAUGCAAUGAACCAAGAGUGACAUGUAUGAAAGAAUUAUGAACGGUGGCUUUGCCACAAAUACUAUGUCAACUACAUGAUCAUGCAAAGCAAUAUGACAAUGAUGAACGUGUCAUGAUAAACUGGAUGGUGGAAACUUGCAUGGCAAUAUAUCUCGAAUGGCUAUGGAAAUGCCAUAAUAGGUAGGUAUGGUGGCUGUUUUGAGGAAGAUAUAAGGAGGUUUAUGUGUGAAAGAGCGUAUCAUAUCACGGGGUUAGGAUGCACCGGCGAAGUUUGCACCAACUCUCAAUGUGAGAAAGGGCAAUGCACGGUACCGAAGAGGCUAGCAAUGGUGGAAAGGUGAGAGUGCGUAUAAUCCAUGGACUCAACAUUAGUCAUAAAGAACUCACAUACUUAUUACAAAAAUCUACAAGUCAUCAAAAACCAAGCACUACGCGCAUGCUCCUAGGGGGAUAGAUUGGCAGGAAAAGACCAUCGCUCGUCCCCGACCGCCACUCAUAAGGAGGACAAUCAAAGAACACCUCAUGUUUCAAAUUUGUUACAUAACGUUUACCAUACGUGCAUGCUACGGGACUUGCAAACUUCAACACAAGUAUUUCUCAAAUUCACAACUACUCAACUAGCACAACUUUAAUAUUACUACCUCCAUGUCUCAAAACAAUCAUCAAGCAUCAAACUUCUCUUAGUAUUCAACACACUCAUAAGAAAGUUUUUACUAGUCUUGAAUACCUAGCAUAUUAGGAUUUUUUAAGCAAAUUACCAUGCUAUUUAAAACUCUCAAAAUAAUCUAAGUGAAGCAUGAGAGAUCAAUAGUUUCUAUAAAACAAAUCCACCACCGUGCUCUAAAAGAUAUAAGCGAAGUACUAGAGCAAAAACUAUAUAACUCAAAAGAUAUAAGUGAAGCACAAAGAGUAUUCUAAUAAUUUCCGAAUCAUGUGUGUCUCUCUCAAAAGGUGUGUACAGCAAGUAUGAUUGUGGUAAACUAAAAAGCAAAGACUCAAACCAUACAAGACGCUCCAAGCAAAACACAUAUCAUGUGGUGAAUAAAAAUAUAGCUCCAAGUAAAGUUACCGAUGGAAGUAGACGAAAGAGGGGAUGCCUUCCGGGGCACCCCCAAGCUUUGGCUUUUUGGUGUCCUUAUAUUAUCUUGGGGGUGCCAUGGGAAUCCCCAAGCUUAGGCUCUUGCCACUCCUUGUUCCAUAAUCCAUCAAAUCUUUCACCCAAAACUUGAAAACUUCACAACACAAAACUUAGCAGAAAAUCUCGUGAGCUCCGUUAGCGAAAGAAAACAAAAGACCACUUCAAGGUACUGUAAUGAACUCAUUAUUUAUUUAUAUUGGUGUUAAACCUACUGUAUUCCAACUUCUCUAUGGUUUAUAAACUCUUUUACUAGCCAUAGAUUCAUCAAAAUAAGCAAACAUCACACGAAAAACAGAAUCUGUCAAAAACAGAACAGUCUGUAGUAAUCUGUAACUAACGCAAACUUCUGGAACUCCAAAAACUCAGCCAAAAUAGGAAGACCUAGAAAAUUUGUUUAUUGAUCAGAAGCAAUUGGAAUCAAUAUUUUAUCACGUUCUGGUGAUUUUUAACAAUUAUUUUCGUGAACAGAAAGUUUCUGAAAUUUUCAGCAAGAUCAAAUAACUAUCAUCCAAGAAGAUCCUAUAGGUUUAACUUGGCACAAACACUAAUUAAAACAUAAAAACACAUCUAACCAGAGGCUAGAACAAAAAUUUAUUCCUAAACAGAAGCAAAAAGCAAAAAAACUAAAAAUA
rnacentral:lncRNA from 1 species